rnacentral:ncRNA from 1 species
UGUGUAGGUACUACUAUAUGUAGUUUAAUAGGGAAGUUCGGUACUAUUCCGACGCUGUCCCCGCAACUGUUAAGCUGACGAUGAUUAUAACCACUGUGCAUUCGCAUGGGAAGGAAAUCAGAGAUUGAAGCAAAGCCAGGAGACCUGCCUAUAUAAAAC